rnacentral:lncRNA from 1 species
UCCUCAUCCGAUGUCGGAUUUCAAUGAAAUUGAUAUUGAUGGAAAGAUUAUUCAAGGAUAUACAUAACAAAAAGUAGAAAUUAUAGAAAUAAAAUACAAUAUAAAUAUCAAUCACUUUGGAAGCUACCCCUAUCCACUAAAAAAUAGAUUUAGGCUUAAAGAACGAUUGAGGUAUUACAUUAAGUUGUUUUGGUGAAUAUGGGAAAUUAGUGGGAAUACUUGCACCACUUUCAUCUCCCUUGAAGCCAAUUCUCCUAGUACCAGUUGGUCGAAUCAACAUUUUUUUUGCUUGAAGCCUAGUCUUUUCUUCAGAUAUUGCCUUAGGCUUUAGAAUUGUCUGAUCCUCCUCCUCAGAUUCAUCAUCAUCCUCAUCAGAAACUACACUUGAAGAUGUAAUAGGUUGGUUGGCACUUCUCUUUGACGUUGAAGCUCCAACAUAUUUCUUGACAUUUGUCUUUGAAUUUGAAUGUUCAGCAAAGAGGCUUGUCUGUUGACCGAAAGAAGAAAUAAAAUCAGGAGUAGGC